UCUGGCAAUGGUAGGGUGGAGGGGGCUUGAAGCCAACUCUUCGCAGCUAUGAGUAUUCCAGGAACUGAAAGAGUGAGAGAUUCUUCUCCCAGUGCACAGCCCACCCAAUCUGGAGCAAGAGCACUUGCCAGAGCACGUGAGCUGAUUGAUUCCUUGCUUCUCAGUUACAACCAUCAUCGAAUCAAGAUUAAUAACCUGUUUGUGCCAGGCUGACCUGAAUUUCCAAUCCUACUGCCUCCACACCUCCAACCUCUCUACUGCUGGGACUACAGGAAAAAGACAUCAUAGCAGUAAGUAACUUGAUUUUAAGGUGGAGAA
rnacentral:sRNA from 1 species